GUGAUCCUCUAAGAUAACUCUUAACUUCAUAGAUUCAUGAUCAUUUUCCCACCUUCACACAAACGUAAGUACUAUAAUUUGGAUAUUUAAUAAUGAAUGGUAAUUGCAUCUGGCAAUCCUACACACUCGACGACCCUUGUACUUUUCGAGCCAUGCUAAAAAAUCAUGGACAACAGUAAUGAAUGAACUAAGAUAUGCCAGAUGUACAUUGAAGAACCAAUCCUUUUUCCGAUGUAUAUAAACUACAUAUUCAAAUUACCAUGGGGGGUUAAGUACUUGAUGACACAAAUCAAGGGUUGUUUGAGGUCCUUGUCUUUCUUGAUCUGGCGCGUGUUACUCGGACUGCUUCCUCCAAGGCUGUCUCAGCAGGAGGGUUAACACUUUCAGUGGCUGAGGGAGGCACAGAAUCAAUCUGCACCACUCGAGUUUCAACAGACGUGGAAGGUUUUGUGAUUUCAGCAAGGGAUUUGGAGGGAGAUGCUUUUUGUGUGUUCAGAGAAGCAGCUACAGUUGAAACCAGUGAUUUGGAGGGAGUUGCUUUUUGUGCAUUUGCAGCGGCAGUGGAAGCAGGUGGAGGACCUUUGGAGGAUCCUGCCUCUUCUGCUGAAUCUGCUUCAUCCUCGCUUGAAGAUUCAGAAGAAGCACGGGGUGCUUGUUCUUCAGCCUGUACUUGUGUUGCUGAAGCAGAUGACCUGCGAUUUAGUGAUGCUGUGGGUUGACGACCUCUACUGCUUUGCCUUUGUGUCUUCAAAUCAGCACGGACAAUUAGAGAAGGACUUUGUGGAGUUGCAUCGCAACACAGCUGAGUGGGGGGAGGUGGAUUUGACUGCGAAGCAAUGUACUGCAAAAUGUCGAAAACCCUCGUCUGGCCAUAGCUAGCAGCUUUCUGCCAGUAUAAAAAGAACAUAUCUCCUGCUCUGGUCCUCAACUCCAACAAACUUUUAUCAAUCUCAGGUUCAUGCCUUAAUAUCACAGGUUUAAAAAAGGCAUCAUAGACGUAUGUAGUUCCCUUAGUUUUGGGGCACCACAAGUAAAUGACGAAUGCCAGC
rnacentral:misc_RNA from 1 species